GACGAACGCUGGCGGUGUGCUUAACACAUGCAAGUCGAACGGAAAGGCCCUGCUUUUGUGGGGUGCUCGAGUGGCGAACGGGUGAGUAACACGUGAGUAACCUGCCCUUGACUUUGGGAUAACUUCAGGAAACUGGGGCUAAUACCGGAUAGGAGCUCCUGCUGCAUGGUGGGGGUUGGAAAGUUUCGGCGGUUGGGGAUGGACUCGCGGCUUAUCAGCUUGUUGGUGGGGUAGUGGCUUACCAAGGCUUUGACGGGUAGCCGGCCUGCGAGGGUGACCGGCCACAUUGGGUCUGAGAUACGGCCCAGACUCCUACGGGAGGCAGCAGUGGGGAAUAUUGCACAAUGGGCGGAAGCCUGAUGCAGCAACGCCGCGUGCGGGAUGACGGCCUUCGGGUUGUAAACCGCUUUCGCCUGUGACGAAGCGUGAGUGACGGUAAUGGGUAAGGAAGCACCGGCUAACUACGUG
rnacentral:rRNA from 1 species